GACGAAGGGGGCUAGCGUUGUUCGGAAUUACUGGGCGUAAAGCGAGUGUAGGCGGUUGUCCUAGUCAGGUGGGAAAGCCUUGAGCUCAACUCAAGAAAUGCACUUGAUACUGGGCGACUAGAGGACCGGAGAGGAUAGUGGAAUUCCCAGUGUAGUGGUGAAAUACGUAUAGAUUGGGAAGAACACCAGUGGCGAAGGCGGCUAUCUGGACGGUUUCUGACGCUAAGACUCGAAAGCGUGGGGCGCAAACAGG
rnacentral:rRNA from 1 species